rnacentral:rRNA from 1 species
GAUGAACGCUAGCGGGAGGCCUAACACAUGCAAGCCGAGCGGUAUUGUUUCUUCGGAAAUGAGAGAGCGGCGUACGGGUGCGGAACUCGUGUGCAACCUGCCUUUAUCUGGGGGAUAGCCUUUCGAAAGGAAGAUUAAUACUCCAUAAUAUAUUGAACGGCAUCGUUUAAUAUUGAAAGCUCCGGCGGAUAGAGAUGGGCACGCGCAAGAUUAGCUAGUUGGUGAGGUAACGGCUCACCAAGGCGAUGAUCUUUAGGGGGCCUGAGAGGGUGAUCCCCCACACUGGUACUGAGACACGGACCAGACUCCUACGGGAGGCAGCAGUGAGGAAUAUUGGUCAAUGGGUGCAAGCCUGAACCAGCCAUCCCGCGUGAAGGACGACUGCCCUAUGGGUUGUAAACUUCUUUUGUAUAGGGAUAAACCUACUCUCGUGAGGGUAGCUGAAGGUACUAUACGAAUAAGCACCGGCUGACUCCGUGCCAGCCGCCGCGGUAACAC